GACGAACGCUGGCGGCGUGCUUAACACAUGCAAGUCGAGCGGAAAGGCCCUUCGGGGUACUCGAGCGGCGAACGGGUGAGUAACACGUGGGCAACCUGCCCCCAACUCUGGGAUAAGCCUAGGAAACUGGGUCUAAUACCGGAUAUGACCUUGGGCUGCAUGGCUCUUGGUGGAAAGUUUUUCGGUUGGGGAUGGGCCCGCGGCCUAUCAGCUUGUUGGUGGGGUAGUGGCCUACCAAGGCGACGACGGGUAGCCGGCCUGAGAGGGCGACCGGCCA
rnacentral:rRNA from 1 species